GCUUGUCUCAAAGAUUAAGCCAUGCAUGUCUAAGUAUAAACAAAUCUAUACUGUGAAACUGCGAAUGGCUCAUUAUAUCAGUUAUAGUUUAUUUGAUGGUUCUUACUACUUGGAUAACCGUAGUAAUUCUAGAGCUAAUACAUGCAUCAACCCCCGACUUUUGAAGGGGUGUAUUUAUUAGAUAAAAAACCAAUCCGGCAACGGUGCUUGGUGAUUCAUAAUAACUGUUCGAAGCGCACGGCCUCGCGCCGGCGCUAGUUCAUUCAAAUUUCUGCCCUAUCAGCUUUCGACGGUAGUGUAGUGGACUACCGUGGCGCUAACGGGUGACGGAGAAUUAGGGUUCGGUUCCGGAGAGGGAGCCUGAGAAACGGCUACCACAUCCAAGGAAGGCAGCAGG
rnacentral:rRNA from 1 species